GGCUCGGCGGCCUGGGCGCUGGGUCACCGAAGUGGUCGUUGUGGGUGCCAUUUCCUGUCCUCCGACCGGAGUGGUCACCUGUGGUCACCCCGCAGGGCAGCCUCAGGUGGGACCGUGGACGCUCUUUUGGCCUGUGACCGCACUAGUCCCGGAGCCAAGCAGAUCAGAAGUGCAAGCUUUAGUUUACUUGAGUGUUUAUAACUUGCGGUGCAGACUCCCCCCAAGUUAGGCAUAGACAUGGAGUAGGUGUAGUUAGUUAUUGGCUUCCUUCUCCCCCAUUGAUCGUGCCUUCACUCCCCACUCCUGCCCAUGCCCGGUGCCGGGAAGCAUUCCAACCAAGAGGAGCGUACCCACACCUCAACUCCACCCGGGGGAGACCCUCCACCUUGGCUAAGGCUGGAGACUCAUUCAAGUGCCAGAUAAAUGGGCAAAACAUACCCCAUGAAGCCGUGCCCCAUAGCGUUAAAAAAAAAAAAGCAUCCGCAUAGGAUUAACAGAAACUGGUGACUAACAGAAAUACUUGAGCUUGUCUGACAGAAUAGCAGCUAAAGGAACAGCUUGCAAAAACUCUGCUUUUAACCUGCCUUCACUGACAGAGCUCACCUUAAUUACUUUUGACUCCUUAGUCACCCCUAUAGAUAACACCUCUGACCUAUGGGUCACUAUAGUAACGGAGGCUUUAGUGGUUUUUCAGGAGCUUGGCGUGGGCUCCUGUCCAGUUCAAGCCGGCUAAGACUGGUUGGGAUCACCAACCCUAAAACUGGGCCGGGGCCAGGUGUCUGACGAAUGACCUUUUGAGAUCAGAGGGCGGAAAACUCCACCCUCAGAUCAUGCUAAUCAGGAGGAGCAGAUGUCACCGUGAGUGAUUUUAGUGCUUUUCUAGAUGUUUGGCUCAUAAAAUCUCCUCCUGAAAAUCUCUAACUAUCUGAAGACCUGUGCUGCCAGUUUCUCCCAGAGCACAGAGGGCAUCAUUCCUGAUCUCCACCCUGAACUCCUUUCAGGGGGUGUUGAAGUUCCCGAAUCAGGGAUCCAACCCGUGCCCCCUGCAGUGGAAGCACAGAGUCUUAACCACUGGACCUCCAGGGAAGUCCUGAUAUGAUCGUUUUAGAUGCCCACUGUUUCAUGGAAAAGAUGUAGAUUCCAAUGAUACUACUAGGAAGUCUGUCUUCUUGUACACUGACAUGAUGACCAGGCUUAUCCAGCAAGGUCCUGUGUCUAUGAAUCCUGCAUAUAUAACCAUGCUCUAACUCAUCCUAGAUGGACCAACCAGGAUAAAACUUGCAUCCAGCUUGGAAGAUCUGCCUUCACGUUUCUCCCGCCUCACCAAGUGGCUGUUACUGGAGACUUUCCAACCCUCUGAUGGACAAAGGUCACUACCAACUAAGCGAGAAGCUGAGUGCUGCCACUAAGAACUUAGUUGUUAUAAUACCAGUGUCCUCAAGAUGAAAAUAUGUCGUAGUAGCCUGCGAUGGCUGCUAUAACAAAGGACCACAAACUGGGUGGCUUAAAACAACAGAAAUUUAUUGUCUGUUUUUCCUGGAGGUUGGAGUCCUAAAUCAAGGUGUCAGCAGGGCCACGCACCCCCUGAGACCCUGGGUAGAAUCCUUCCUUGCCUCUUCCUAGCUGUGGUGGCCAGCAGUCCUUGCUGUCCCUAGGUUUCUGCUGCAUCAGUCCAGUCUCUGCCUCUGUCUUCACAAGGCGUACUCCUUGUGUGUCUUCACUGAGUCUUCCUUCUGUGCAUGUCUGUGUAUCUAAAUUUCCCCGUAGUAUAAGGACACUGGUCAUAUUGGAUUAGGGCCCACCCUAAUGACCUCAUUAUAACUUGAUUACCUCUGUAAAGACCCUCUCUCCAAAUAGGGUCAUAUUCUGAGGUCCUGGGGGUUAGGGCUUCCAUAUAGCUUCAGUAUAUCUGGGGGAAACACAAUUCAACCCAUAACAUAUGUCAAAACCACACCAAAUGGGAGAUUAUGAGUGACUUUAUUUUUUUUUAAUGGAAAAAAAUUUUAAGCUUUAUUGAGAUAUAAUUGACAAAACAUUGUGUAAGUUUAAGGUGAAUAAUGUAAUGAUUUGACAUAUGUACAGUUGACCCUUGAACAACAGGGUUUGAACUGCAUGGGUCCACUUAUACCUGUAUUUUUUUCAAUAAAUAUAGUACCUGUAUUUUCCUUUUACAGGUCUUUACAUUAACUAAGUGUAGGGAAAAGUUUGUGUUCGAUUAGCAAUCACAAUAUGCGGAAUCAGAAGAACUGGGGUUUGAGUCCUGAUUCGGUACAAACUGCGUCAGCUUCCUGCCCUUUGAGGCAGAGAUAGCAGUACCUGCAUUUCGACUGCACAGGGGGCUGGCGCCCCUCACCCCUGAGUUGGUCAAGGGUCAAGUGUAUAUAUUGUAAAUUAUUACCACAGUAAGGUUAGUUAACACUCCCCUUGCCUCACAUAGGUAUAAUUUUUGUGUGUGUGGUGAGAACUUUUAAGAUCUACUCUAUCAAAUUUCCAGUAUACAAUCCAAUAUUCCUAACUAUGGUCACCAUGUUGUACAUUACAUGCCCAGUAUUUAUUCAUCUUAUAACUGGAGGUUUGUAGCCUUUGACCGCCUUCACCCAUUUUCCCGAUUCCCCACUCCAACCCCUGCCCCUGCCAGCUGCCAAUCUGCUCUGUUUCUAUGAGUUCGGUUUUUUAUUCCACAUAUAAAUAAGAUUAUACAGUA